rnacentral:misc_RNA from 1 species
UUUCCGUAGGUGAACCUGCGGAAGGAUCAUUAACGAAUAACUAUGGUGUCUUGGUUGUAGCUGGCUCCUCGGAGCAAUGUGCACGCCCGCCAUUUUUAUCUUUCCACCUGUGCACCGACUGUAGGUCUGGAUGACUCUCGUACUCCGGUGCGGAUGCGAGGAUUGCUCUCGGGCUCUCCUCGAGUUUCCAGACUCUACGUCUUUUUACACACCCCAAACGUAUGAUACAGAAUGUAGUCAAUGGGCUUGAUCGCCUAUAAAACACUAUACAACUUUCAGCAACGGAUCUCUUGGCUCUC